AUUGAACGCUGGCGGCAUGCUUUACACAUGCAAGUCGAACGGUAACAGGCCGCAAGGUGCUGACGAGUGGCGAACGGGUGAGUAAUGCAUCGGAACGUGCCCAGUCGUGGGGGAUAACUACUCGAAAGAGUAGCUAAUACCGCAUACGAUCUAUGGAUGAAAGCGGGGGACCGUAAGGCCUCGCACGAUUGGAGCGGCCGAUGUCAGAUUAGGUAGUUGGUGGGUAAAGGCUCACCAAGCCAACGAUCUGUAGCUGGUCUGAGAGGACGACCAGCCACACUGGGACUGAGACACGGCCCAGACUCCUACGGGAGGCAGCAGUGGGGAAUUUUGGACAAUGGGCGCAAGCCUGAUCCAGCAAUGCCGCGUGCAGGAAGAAGGCCUUCGGGUUGUAAACUGCUUUUGUACGGAACGAAACGGCUCUGGUUAAUACCCGGGGCUAAUGACGGUACCGUAAGAAUAAGCACCGGCUAACUACGUG
rnacentral:rRNA from 1 species